rnacentral:misc_RNA from 1 species
GUUGGUUUCCCUGGAGGGGCCUCCCAUCACUUUCUUCUUGGCGCUUAAAACCGGUGGCAAUUAGUGUUAUACUGACCUGUCCACUUAAUGAUGGGUCUAUCACAGCUCCAAAAAUGAGGUUGGCACUUGGGUCGACAAGGUCAUAUAUAACCUCUGCUGCAGCAUUUACCUCAAAUAAUGUUAAAUCGUUACCACCGGUUAUAUUCCACACAAUUCCUGUAGCUCUCUCUAUGCCAAUGUCCAGCAAAGGAGAUUGAACAGCAUUCAAUGCAGCAUCUCUGGCUCUGGUCUUCCCUGUAGCAGUUCCUAUUCCCAUCAACGAAGAACCAGCAUUUGCCAUAAUAGCACGCACAUCAGCAAAAUCAACAUUUACCAGUCCAGGAAUCGUAAUUAUAUCAGAAAUACCACGAACCCCUUGCCGAAGAAUAUCAUCAGCCAGGUUAAAAGCUUCAGUUACUGGGGUUGAUGGAGAAACAGCUGUCAAUAAUUUGUCAUUUGGAAUGACAAUCAGAGUAUCAACAUUUUCUCUCAAAGCUGCAAUUCCUUCUUGGGCUUGAACUGCUCUUCUUCGUCCCUCA